GGGAAAGUGGCUCAGUGGUAGAGUUCUUGCCUUGCAUGCAUGAAGCCCUGGGUUCGAUUCCUCAGCACCA
rnacentral:tRNA from 1 species